AGAGAGGGCUGCGGACAGGGAUGCAUCUCUACCGGUAAAGGAACACAGCCACGGCUUGCCAGGGAAGGGACUAGAGAAGCAAAUAUCCCGACCUUUCUCAGCAACCAUCUCCCCAUCCCAUACCAGUGCCUGCCGUCGGGUGAUCUAACUGCAAGCAAAAGGCAGCAGGGAAUGUUUGAAGAUUUCUGUGGCCAGUCUCCUAGGAAUGUGAGCACUGUGAGGAAAGCUGGAACAUGGAUCUGGAGGGACAAACGGAGAACGUCCGGGACAGGAAGAGUAGUGGGAAACGAGUCAGAGAGAGAGGCAAAUGUGCGCUGAGUGCCUCUCCAUGGAAGCCUGAGGGGAACCCAGCAGGGCGCAGAGCAAGCAACAUCCCUGCCCUCUACUGGCUGGAUGAGGGAGGACGAUGAGAUGCGGUGCCAUCCGUGCAUCUGGACAUUGCAAGGUGAGGAAUAGAAAAAGGUGCCCAGGAAAGCAGAAUGUGCCUACCACCCACAACAGAGAUAAAAUCUCAGUUCCAGCCAAGAAGUGUACACAGAAAUACCUCCAAGCAAAACCAGAUCUGCCUGUCCUCAGAGAUAAUCAGAAGGAUUCCUUUCAGUUGCCUCAGACCAAGAGCAGCCUGGCUACAUUUUUUGCCUCUUGCUUCUCAACUGGCUGGCAUUUUCAUAGACUUACAUUUUAAAAGGCUGUUUACUUAGGAACAAAAAAUGAAGUUACAUACUCAAUUAAUUUUAACUUUAUGAUAUUUGGCUUCAUUGUCUAAUAAUCUAUUUUUUCUUUUUUUUCUUUUUUUUUUUUUGAGAUGGAGUCUCAUUCUGUCACCCAGGCUGGCGCGCAGUGACGUGAUCUCGGCUCACUCCAACCUCCACCUACCAGGUUCAAGGAAGCAACUCUCCUGUCUCAGCCUCCCAAGUAGCUGGGACUACCGGUGCACGCCACCACACCCGGCUAAUUUUUGUAUUUUUAGUAGAGAGGGGGUUUCAUCAUAUUAGUCAGGCUGGUCUAGAAUUCCUGACCUCAGGUGAUCCACCAGCCUCAACCUCCCAAAGUGCUGGGAUUACAGGCAUGAGCCACCACGCCCAGCCUAAUAAUCUAUUUUAAUAAUUAAAAAAUAGUGUCUCUCUCGUUCUUUUUCCUGUGUGUUUUUAUUGAUAAAUUUCAAUGCUUUGAGCAAAUAAAACAUUUCCCCAUUC
rnacentral:lncRNA from 10 species